rnacentral:tRNA from 1 species
GGGGGUGGAUCGGGUCUGGUGUCCCGCCCGGACUUCAAAUCCGGCGGCAGGAGUGACCCUUCUGCGGUGGGUUCGAUUCCCACACACUCCCGCCA